CCUACGGGGUGCAGCAGUGGGGAAUAUUGGACAAUGGGCGAAGCCUGAUCCAGCCAUGCCGCGUGUGUGAAGAAGGCCUUCGGGUUGUAAAGCACUUUCAGUGGGGAAGAAAGCCUUGGGGCUAAUACCCUCGAGGAAGGACAUCACCCACAGAAGAAGCACCGGCUAACUCCGUGCCAGCAGCCGCGGUAAUACGGAGGGUGCGAGCGUUAAUCGGAAUUACUGGGCGUAAAGCGCGCGUAGGCGGUCUGAUAAGCCGGUUGUGAAAGCCCCGGGCUCAACCUGGGAACGGCAUCCGGAACUGUCAGGCUAGAGUGCAGGAGAGGAAGGUAGAAUUCCCGGUGUAGCGGUGAAAUGCGUAGAGAUCGGGAGGAAUACCAGUGGCGAAGGCGGCCUUCUGGACUGACACUGACGCUGAGGUGCGAAAGCGUGGGUAGCAAACAGGAUUAGAUACCCUAGUAGUC
rnacentral:rRNA from 1 species